CUUUGAUUCACUUCCGCCCCUUUUCCGCUCAGUUCCCCGAGGCGCAAUAAAGAAAUCUGAAGUAUUUAGGUGCAGUCCAGUGGGAGCUCAGAAAUGCCACCGUGCUAUUUCUAGGGACAACUUUUCCAGCUUUUCCGGAGGGAUGCAAAAUCCUCUUUCCAUAAGAAAAUGAGCAUUCUUAAAGGUUUGGGCUACCUCACCAUUAUGACACCAAGAAAUCUCUGGUAUAUGAGAAGUAACUUUUUUUUUGGCUCAAGAUGUUGGAUGACCCGAUUUUCAGCAGAAGUUCUCUCCAAAUCCAUUCCAUUUAGGUUUUUUGGUGUUAAGUAUGACGAUACAGAUAUUGAGCCUUUGGAAAAUGAAGAAUUGCUGAAUAACUUACUUACUAUAGGAGUAGAUGUUCACAUGGCAAAGAAACGACAGCCUGGAGUUUUUCACAGGGUGGGUACUAAUGAGCAGGGCUUGAAGAUGUUCCUUAUGUCCAAAGGAGCUAGCAAAAAAGUGGUUGCAAGCAUCAUAUCAAGAUAUCCACGAGCCAUAACACGCAAAAUUGAAAGUCUUUCAGAACGGUGGGAUCUGUGGAGAAGAAUUAUGACUUCAGAUACUGAAAUUGUAAAUGUUCUGGAACGCUCUCCUGAAUCCUUUUUUCGUUCAAAUGACAACCAAAACCUGGAGAAUAAUAUAGAGUUCCUCUACUCCGUUGGAUUGUCACAUGAAUUACUUCGUCGAUUGUUGACCAAUGCCCCUCGCACCUUCUCCAAUAGUCUUCAUUUGAAUAAACAGAUGAUUGAACUUUUACAAAAAGUCUCUGUGUCCUUGGGUCACAAUGAUCCUGAGGAUUUUGUCAGGAAGAUCAUUUUCAAAAACCCAUUCAUCUUAAUUCAGAGCACCAAACGGGUGAAAGCUAACAUUGAAUUUUUACAGUCAACUUUCAACUUGAACAAUGAAAAGCUGCUCAUCCUGAUAUGUGGUCCAGCAGCUGAAAUCUUAGACCUUUCCAAUGACUAUGUCAAAAAAAACUACAUAAAUAUAAAGGAGAAGCUGUUUUCUCUUGGGUGUACGGAAGAAGAAGUUCUUAAAUUUGUCUUAAGCUAUCCAGAUUUGAUCUUUUUGGGAGAGAAAAAAUUUAGUGAUAAAAUAGACUACCUCAUAGGAGAAAGCAUUAGCAUUUCACAAAUAAUGGAAAAUCCUCGGAUUCUGGAUUCAAGCAUAAAUACUUUAAAAAAUCGAAUAAAGGAACUAGUAAAUGCUGGCUAUGACUUGCGUACAUCAAAACUCACUCUUCUGUCUUUGAGUCAAAAAAGAUUCAAAGCUAAGUUGAAAAAGCUAAACACUGUAUAGAACAUUGUUCUGGCAAAUUUUCAAAAGUCACUUUUAUAAUUUUGUGUUAAUCUUUUUUUAAAAAUUUUUACCCUUUCAAAAAGGAGAGGUUUGAUAUCAACCAUAUCUAUAUAUAUCUUUAAAAUAUUCAUAGAAACUCAUCAGUAUGUUCUGGUAUUCUUCCCAGCUAUCUGUUCACUCGUUUGAUGCAACAUCCUAUUAUGUGAUACAGACUGUGUCUGGUGUGUGAAUGCUAGUUCCCGAGUCGGGGCAAAAACUGUGUGGAAAGAUAGAGUACAAAAGAAAGUUUUGUGGUUUCUACAGUGAUUACAAAGUUAACAGAUCCUUUUAGGUAAUUCUGUAUGCUGUUAUGCUUUGAUUGGCAACAUAUUCUGUUAUCCAUGCUUAAUUAGUUAUGGUUCAUCUUCAAAACGGAAUGCCAAUUAAAAUAUGAAAUAGAAAGGAGAGUAUGUUCAUCCCAAGUUCUACAUAUUCCACUUAAUCAUUAGUGUGCUUCUCCUACCCUCCAAUCUAGUCACAAUUUACUAUGGGAAGACAAGGGCAACUUUGCAUUCUUUCAUCAAGCUGAAUUCUAUUUCACUCUCUACCUGACAUAUGAAGAAUUGACAACAAAGUCUGGAACAGAAAUAUUUUCAGUUGGAAGAGGUCCUGUUCCCCUUCACCACCCACACCCAACUGAAAUGAAAACUUAGAAAUGUUUUGCUUUGCGCUCCUUGACUUUUCUUCUCUAGAGUCAGUGAGCAGGGGUGUUACUUUGUAGUGGCUUGACCGAGAAGGUCUUUCACAGAACCUGAGUUUACUCUCUUCGCCUUUCAUUUGCUAAUAAAACAUUGCAGUCUGAGUUGCUGCCAAAAUGGAGGUUGUUGGGAACCUAUGAGAUCAAUAGUAACUUUGUUUAUUGGUUUGUUUAUAAAAAUAACUUUCCUGAUUGUAAUAUAAUUCAUAAUUACAGAAUGUUGUUUAAUUUUGUGUACAUGCACAAAAAUAAUGCCUUGGAAAGUAUAAAU